CUUCAAAGCAAAUUUUUGUU
rnacentral:snRNA from 1 species